rnacentral:ribozyme from 1 species
AGUUAUGUGUGUGGGAGGAGAAUUAUCUGAAGAAAAUAUUCGAGUCAAGAAAUAUUGAGUUGCUUAGUUUAAGAUCAUUUCUUCUGAUGAAUGCGGUGAUGAUGGUUCUGUGGGAGGCUCUUCCUGCUCUAGUA